UACAGAGGGUGCGAGCGUUAAUCGGAAUUACUGGGCGUAAAGCGCGCGUAGGCGGCUUUGCAAGUCGAGUGUGAAAUCCCCAGGCUCAACCUGGGAACUGCAUUCGAGACUGCAUAGCUAGAGUAUGGGAGAGGGAAGUGGAAUUUCAGGUGUAGCGGUGAAAUGCGUAGAUAUCUGAAGGAACAUCAGUGGCGAAAGCGACUUCCUGGACCAAUACUGACGCUCAUGUGCGAAAGCGUGGGGGAGCAAACAGG
rnacentral:rRNA from 1 species